rnacentral:rRNA from 1 species
CCGGGAACUCGGCAAAUUGGUACCGUAACUUCGGGAUAAGGUACGCCUCUAUAGGUGAAGGCCCUCGCGGCUGGAGCUGAACGAGGUUGCAAUGAAACGGUGGCUGCGACUGUUUAACAAAAACACAGCACUCUGCAAACACGUCAAGUGGACGUAUAGGGUGUGACGCCUGCCCGGUGCCGGAAGGUUAAGUGAUGGGGUGCAAGCUCUUGAUCGAAGCCCCGGUAAACGGCGGCCGUAACAAUAACGGUCCUAAGGUAGCGAAAUUCCUUGUCGGGUAAGUUCCGACCUGCACGAAUGGCGUAACGAUGGCCACACUGUCUCCUUCUGAGACUCAGCGAAGUUGAAGUGUUUGUGAUGAUGCAAUCUCCCCGCUGCAAGACGGAAAGACCCCGUGCACCUUUACUGCAACUUUACAUUGGACUUUGAUGAGAUCCGUGUAGGAUAGGUGGGAGACUUUGAAGCGGUGCCGCUAGGUGCCGUGGAGUCGUCCUUGAAAUACCACCCUGAUCUCAUUGAGGCUCUAACCUAGGCCCGUAAUCCGGGUCGGGGACCGUGUAUGGUGGGCAGUUUGACUGGGGCGGUCUCCUCCCAAAGAGUAACGGAGGAGUGCGACGGUACGCUUAGCGCGGUCGGCUAUCGCGCUGAAAGUGCAAUGGCAUAAGCGUGCUUAACUGCGAGACUGACAAGUCGAGCAGGUGCGAAAGCAGGUCAUAGUGAUCCGGUGGUUCUGUAUGGAAGGGCCAUCGCUCAACGGAUAAAAGGUACGCCGGGGAUAACAGGCUGAUUCCUCCCAAGAGUUCAUAUCGACGGGGGAGUUUGGCACCUCGAUGUCGGCUCAUCACAUCCUGGGGCUGUAGCCGGUCCCAAGGGUAUGGCUGUUCGCCAUUUAAAGUGGUACGUGAGCUGGGUUCAAAACGUCGUGAGACAGUUUGGUCCCUAUCUGCAGUGGGCGUUGGAGGUUUGAGGGGGGCUGCUCCUAGUACGAGAGGACCGGAGUGGACGAAUCUCUGGUAUACCGGUUGUCACGCCAGUGGCAUCGCCGGGUAGCUAAAUUCGGAAGAGAUAACCGCUGAAAGCAUCUAAGCGGGAAACUCGCCUCAAGAUUAGACCUCCCGGGGACUCGAUCCCCCUAAAGGUUCGUCGGAGACUACGACGUUGAUAGGUCGGGUGUGUACACGCAGUAAUGCGUUCAGCUAACCGAUACUAAUUGACCGUGCGGCUUGAUCUU